AAGUCGUAACAAGGUCUCCGUAGGUGAACCUGCGGAGGGAUCAUUAACACUGUAGAAAAGAGAUACUUCACUGUAUCUCUUCUUCUCUAUCUACCAAUUUCGUGAACUUUGUAGCCUUACUAUUUUUAUAUAUGGCGACAUAUGUAAAAAUAAAUAAUUUUUUAUUAUUUUAACCCUUUCCAAAUCUUUUUACUAUUUUUAAAUUUUUUUGUGGCUUUUGUCAUAAAAAACUAUAAAAAUCAAACAAAAAGCACAACUCUUAGCAACGGAUAUCUUGGUUCUG
rnacentral:misc_RNA from 1 species